AAUAAACAUUGAAAAAACUGAAUACGAUAGCAAUCCAGCUAUCUAUUGGGAUUUAAUAUUUGACAUGCCAAAAAUUUCGAAACUUGGAAAUGGUAAGGAAUUCGAUUUUGCUGUGGCAACCGAUAGUGUGGCAGUUUCGUUAUGUUUCGUGAAGCCUGAACGCAAUACACCAGAACUUGAUAACAACACCAUCAAAGAGAAGUACAAUAAUUUUGAGUUUGAUUAUGUGCUUGGAAUCGAUCCAGGAGUUCGUACAUGGAACGCCACCGUUCGCAAACACGUUCGAUCCGGCAACGAGGAAAACAUCACAAUUGAUGGUCCAAAAUACCAUUUCAAAGCGAAAUAUGGCAAACGCAAGCGUAAAUCCGAUAUAAACGCUACGCAUUUUUUCCAUCGCCGAAAGGACGUUCACAUUGAAUGUCUUACAUCGCUUAUUAUGUGAAAAUGAUGAAACCAGCUAUGGCGGUGUACACAACACGAAAGUUCAUUCGACUCCGUCUCGAUAAAUACAUCGAAGAGAAUCGGGCCAGUGACAAUAUUGCGGCAUCACUGACGAGAAAAAAAGUCGGCGCUCGUUUUUAUUGGUGGAGCUCAAAUAGCUCCAAACUCACCAAUUGGUAUUAAAAAGCGAUUGCGAUGCCCGGGAUUACGACGACUAUUGAACAGUUUCAAGAAGUUGGGAAAUUAUAUUGUACGAUUGGUCGACGAAUACAAUACAUCGCAAACUUGUGCAAAAUGUUUCCGGCCAUUCGAUCGACGAACCAAAAGCGAUCGAUACAAAGUUUGUCAGCAUUGUAUUCCAAGUGAAGAUGAGUCAUCGCAAUGGAAUUUACCGAACGUGAUUAUCACCAUGAAAAGCAACCGAGUGUACCAACAAUUGCGUAAAUAUGCAGUUGAUUUUGUUAGUCGAUUGAAUUCAGCCAACCCAGAUCAUAUUCCAAUGGAUUCAGACGGUUUAGUGUCAAAACUUCAAGUAUGUUUCAAAAACUGGCAACUAAACACUGGCAUUUGGAAAGAUGAUCGAGCUCCAUUACGUUUAUGUUCUCGAUGUUUCCGAUGACGACCAGUUUUAAUUACAUGUAGCAUUAAGAUUUCUUUUAAAUAAUAUUAUUGUAACGUUUUGUUACUAUGCUGGGCUUGAGUUUUGUGGCCUUGACCGAAGUACGGGCAGUUCGGUAUAUAAAAUAACCCGUAGCGAACCUUGAAAUCAAUUGAUAAAAGUCAAUUUCUGCUUCUAUUGACUAAUUCAAACUGUUCGAUACUUUUUUUCGUUCUUGAAAUUCCGAAUAAACCGUUUGAAGCUAGGCG